rnacentral:rRNA from 1 species
GCGGCGUGCCUAAUACAUGCAAGUCGAGCGAACGGACGAGAAGCUUGCUUCUCUGAUGUUAGCGGCGGACGGGUGAGUAACACGUGGAUAACCUACCUAUAAGACUGGGAUAACUUCGGGAAACCGGAGCUAAUACCGGAUAAUAUUUUGAACCGCAUGGUUCAAAAGUGAAAGACGGUCUUGCUGUCACUUAUAGAUGGAUCCGCGCUGCAUUAGCUAGUUGGUAAGGUAACGGCUUACCAAGGCAACGAUGCAUAGCCGACCUGAGAGGGUGAUCGGCCACACUGGAACUGAGACACGGUCCAGACUCCUACGGGAGGCAGCAGUAGGGAAUCUUCCGCAAUGGGCGAAAGCCUGACGGAGCAACGCCGCGUGAGUGAUGAAGGUCUUCGGAUCGUAAAACUCUGUUAUUAGGGAAGAACAUAUGUGUAAGUAACUGUGCACAUCUUGACGGUACCUAAUCAGAAAGCCACGGCUAACUACGUGCCAGCAGCCGCGGUAAUACGUAGGUGGCAAGCGUUAUCCGGAAUUAUUGGGCGUAAAGCGCGCGUAGGCGGUUUUUUAAGUCUGAUGUGAAAGCCCACGGCUCAACCGUGGAGGGUCAUUGGAAACUGGAAAACUUGAGUGCAGAAGAGGAAAGUGGAAUUCCAUGUGUAGCGGUGAAAUGCGCAGAGAUAUGGAGGAACACCAGUGGCGAAGGCGACUUUCUGGUCUGUAACUGACGCUGAUGUGCGAAAGCGUGGGGAUCAAACAGGAUUAGAUACCCUGGUA